rnacentral:rRNA from 1 species
UACAGAGGGUGCAAGCGUUGUUCGGAAUUAUUGGGCGUAAAGGGCGCGUAGGCGGUGCUGUAAGUCUGUAGUGAAAAUCUCUGGGCUCAACUCAGAGUCUGCUAUAGAAACUGCAGUGCUGGAGUGUGGGAGAGGUGAGUGGAAUUCCCGGUGUAGCGGUGAAAUGCGUAGAUAUCGGGGAGGAACACCUGUGGCGAAAGCGGCUCACUGGACCACAACUGACGCUGAGGCGCGAAAGCUAGGGGAGCAAACAGG